GUUGUAUGGUUAAGUGACUAAGCGUACAUGGUGGAUGCCUUGGCAGUCAGAGGCGAUGAAGGACGUACUAACCUGCGAUAAGCCGUGAGCAGUCGGUAAGAGACAUUACGACUCACGGAUUUCCGAAUGGGGAAACCCACUUAGCAUAAGCUAGGUAUCGCUGCGUGAAUACAUAGCGUAGCGAGGCGAACCGGGAGAACUGAAACAUCUAAGUACCCCGAGGAAAAGAAAUCAACCGAGAUUCCCUCAGUAGCGGCGAGCGAACGGGGAUUAGCCCUUAAGCAUCUUGGAAGUUAGUGGAACGGUCCUGGAAAGGCCGGCGAUACAGGCGAGGCGAACCGGGAGAACUGAAACAUCUAAGUACCCCGAGGAAAAGAAAUCAACCGAGAUUCCCUCAGUAGCGGCGAGCGAACGGGGAUUAGCCCUUAAGCAUCUUGGAAGUUAGUGGAACGGUCCUGGAAAGGCCGGCGAUACAGGGUGAUAGCCCCGUACACGAAAACAACCUUGAUGUGAAAUCGAGUAGGGCGGGACACGUGACAUCCUGUCUGAAUAUGGGGGGACCAUCCUCCAAGGCUAAAUACUCCUGACUGACCGAUAGUGAACCAGUACCGUGAGGGAAAGGCGAAAAGAACCCCUGUGAGGGGAGUGAAAUAGAACCUGAAACCGUGUACGUACAAGCAGUGGGAGCCCUUCGGGGUGACUGCGUACCUUUUGUAUAAUGGGUCAGCGACUUACAUUUUGUAGCGAGGUUAACCGUAUAGGGGAGCCGUAGGGAAACCGAGUCUUAACUGGGCGUCUAGUUGCAAGGUGUAGACCCGAAACCGGGUGAUCUAGCCAUGGGCAGGUUGAAGGUUGAGUAACAUCAACUGGAGGACCGAACCCACUAACGUUGCAAAGUUAGGGGAUGACCUGUGGCUGGGGGUGAAAGGCCAAUCAAACUCGGAGAUAGCUGGUUCUCCCCGAAAGCUAUUUAGGUAGCGCCUCGGACGAAUACUACUGGGGGUAGAGCACUGUUUGGGCUAGGGGGUCAUCCCGACUUACCAACCCCAUGCAAACUCCGAAUACCAGUAAGUAAUAUCCGGGAGACACACGGCGGGUGCUAACGUCCGUCGUGAAGAGGGAAACAACCCAGACCGCCGGCUAAGGUCCCAAAGUUCUGGUUAAGUGGGAAACGAUGUGGGAAGGCUCAGACAGCUAGGAUGUUGGCUUAGAAGCAGCCAUCAUUUAAAGAAAGCGUAAUAGCUCACUAGUCGAGUCGGCCUGCGCGGAAGAUGUAACGGGGCUCAAACCAGGCACCGAAGCCGCGGAUUCACGCUAAGCGUGAGUGGUAGGGGAGCGUUCUGUAAGUCUGCGAAGGUGUGUCGAGAGGCAUGCUGGAGAUAUCAGAAGUGCGAAUGCUGACGUAAGUAACGAUAAAGGGGGUGAAAAGCCUCCUCGCCGGAAGACCAAGGGUUCCUGUCCAACGUUAAUCGGGGCAGGGUGAGUCGACCCCUAAGGUGAGGCCGAAAGGCGUAAUCGAUGGGAAGCAGGUUAAUAUUCCUGCACGACUUGUAAUUGCGAUGGGGGGACGGAGAAGGCUAGGUGGGCCAGGCGACGGUUGUCCUGGUGAAAGUGCGUAGGUGGUGUUUCUAGGCAAAUCCGGAGACACAACACUGAGACACGAGACGAACACACUACGGUGUGGAAGCCAUUGAUGCCCUGCUUCCAGGAAAAGCCUCUAAGCUUCAGAUUACAAGUCAUCGUACCCCAAACCGACACAGGUGGUCGGGUAGAGAAUACCAAGGCGCUUGAGAGAACUCGGGUGAAGGAACUAGGCAAAAUAGUACCGUAACUUCGGGAGAAGGUACGCUCUUGUUGGUGAAGUCCCUUGCGGAUGGAGCUGACGGGAGUCGCAGUGACCAGAUGGCUGGGACUGUUUAUCAAAAACACAGCACUCUGCAAACACGAAAGUGGACGUAUAGGGUGUGACACCUGCCCGGUGCCGGAAGGUUAAUUGAUGGGGUUAGCGCAAGCGAAGCUCUUGAUCGAAGCCCCGGUAAACGGCGGCCGUAACUAUAACGGUCCUAAGGUAGCGAAAUUCCUUGUCGGGUAAGUUCCGACCUGCACGAAUGGUGUAACCAUGGCCAUGCUGUCUCCACCCGAGACUCAGUGAAAUCGAAUUCGCCGUGAAGAUGCGGUGUACCCGCGGCUAGACGGAAAGACCCCGUGAACCUUUACUACAGCUUGGCACUGAACAUUGAACCUACAUGUGUAGGAUAGGUGGGAGGCUUUGAAGGCGUGACGCCAGUUGCGCUGGAGCCGUCCUUGAAAUACCACCCUUGUAUGUUUGAUGUUCUAACGCAGGGCCCUGAAUCGGGCUCGCGGACAGUGCCUGGUGGGUAGUUUGACUGGGGCGGUCUCCUCCCAAAGAGUAACGGAGGAGCACGAAGGUUGGCUAAUCCUGGUCGGACAUCAGGAGGUUAGUGCAAUGGCAUAAGCCAGCUUAACUGCGAGACGGACAGGUCGAGCAGGUACGAAAGUAGGUCAUAGUGAUCCGGUGGUUCUGAAUGGAAGGGCCAUCGCUCAACGGAUAAAAGGUACUCCGGGGAUAACAGGCUGAUACCGCCCAAGAGUUCAUAUCGACGGCGGUGUUUGGCACCUCGAUGUCGGCUCAUCACAUCCUGGGGCUGAAGUCGGUCCCAAGGGUAUGGCUGUUCGCCAUUUAAAGUGGUACGCGAGCUGGGUUCAGAACGUCGUGAGACAGUUCGGUCCCUAUCUGCCGUGGGCGUUGGAUGAUUGAAGGGAGUUGCUCCUAGUACGAGAGGACCGGAGUGAACGAACCUCUGGUGUUCGGGUUGUCACGCCAGUGGCACUGCCCGGUAGCUAAGUUCGGAAUCGAUAACCGCUGAAAGCAUCUAAGCGGGAAGCGAGCCCUGAGAUGAGUCAUCCCUGACCCCUUGAGGGUCCUAAAGGGCCGUUGGAGACCACAACGUUGAUAGGUGGGGUGUGUAAGCGCGGCGACGUGUUGAGCUAACCCAUACUAAUUACCCGUGAGGCUUAACCAUACAACACCCAAGAAGUGUUCUGAGUCAUCCCUGACCCCUUGAGGGUCCUAAAGGGCCGUUGGAGACCACAACGUUGAUAGGUGGGGUGUGUAAGCGCGGCGACGUGUUGAGCUAACCCAUACUAAUUACCCGUGAGGCUUAACCAUACAACACCCAAGAAGUGUUCU
rnacentral:rRNA from 1 species